rnacentral:rRNA from 1 species
GAUGAACGCUGGCGGCGUGCCUAAUACAUGCAAGUCGAGCGAACAGACGAGGAGCUUGCUCCUCUGACGUUAGCGGCGGACGGGUGAGUAACACGUGGAUCACCUACCUAUAAUACUGGGAUAACUUCGGGAAACCGGAGCUAAUACCGGAUAAUAUAUUGAACCGCAUGGUUCAAUAGUGAAAGACGGUUUUGCUGUCACUUAUAGAUGGAUCCGCGCCGCAUUAGCUAGUUGGUAAGGUAACGGCUUACCAAGGCAACGAUGCGUAGCCGACCUGAGAGGGUGAUCAGCCACACUGGAACUGAGACACGGUCCAGACUCCUACGGGAGGCAGCAGUAGGGAAUCUUCCGCAAUGGGCGAAAGCCUGACGGAGCAACGCCGCGUGAGUGAUGAAGGUCUUCGGAUCGUAAAACUCUGUUAUUAGGGAAGAACAAAUGUGUAAGUAACUAUGCACGUCUUGACGGUACCUAAUCAGAAAGCCACGGCUAACUACGUG